CUCAAAAGGCAGCGUCAGCAAGACUUUCCUCCUUCUAUUUCAUAGAAUUGCUCCUAUUUUCACCUCUUUUUAUAUCCACAGAUAUCCAGCAACAGAAAGGAUGGGCAGUAGGUACCUUUACUACCUUGGAAGCAGUGUGGAAACAGGGCAAUAUAAGAGAUUCACAAAACAAGGAGACAAGGAUGCCAAAUAAAAGGAGGGUGAAGGUACAGGACAUACAGCAUCAAAGUAAAAUGCUAACUAGACCCAGAAAACCAGCAUGACUGGAUUCUCAAAGCUCUACUUAAAACAGUCAACUGUUCUCCAGUUUCUGCUUUUAUUGACUAGACUGUUUCUCUCUGAACAGUAUGAGAAAGAUGUUUUAGAACUAGGAAUUCAGGAAAAUAAACAAAUAAUCUGAUACUAUUGGAAUGCUUUUGUGGAAAGUGCUGCAUGAAUGAAGACAGAAAGCAUAAGAGAAUUUGACCUACACUAGGAAGUCUAUAUUGCUUGGAAAACUGAUUGUACCAAAGAUCUACAAAGCAAGUAUGCUCAGUAUGAAAAUCUUGAAAGCAAUAUACAAUGCACCCAAUCAUCAGAAAAUGCACCAGAUUGAGCCAUCUUAGUUUUGUUAAAAACUGAUGAUGACCAAAGUAAAUAACUUCAUUCUUCUUCCACAAUUUUGCUUUAGCUUAUAUGCCUAAAUGUUCCCCAACACUCUAAAAACAAAUGAAAGAGCUCCAAAUGCAUUGUUCAGCCACCAGACAGAAGUGAUAAGGAAGAACUCGUAGCCUGUUCUUCAACAGCUGCUAGAGAAACCAGUAGCAAAAUUCCCAAGCUAAGAACAAUUGGAUUUCUUGGAGCUCUCUAAACAAUAAAGCCAUCUCAUUUCAGACACUAUUAAAAAGCAUCC